rnacentral:snRNA from 1 species
UUCUUUAUAUGGUAGGAAGGAUACUAUGAUCAGGAAGGUUUUCUCAAGGCAAUCCUCCUCCAUUGUCCUUGGGAUGUGCUGACCCUUGCAAUUUUCUCAAAUGUUGAAAACUUAAAUUGCAUAAUCUGUAGUAGGAAAAAACUGACUCCUAA